GACGAACGCUGGCGGCGUGCUUAACACAUGCAAGUCGAACGGAAAGGCCCUGCUUUUGUGGGGUGCUCGAGUGGCGAACGGGUGAGUAACACGUGAGUAACCUGCCCUUGACUUUGGGAUAACUUCAGGAAACUGGGGCUAAUACCGGAUAGGAGCUCCUGCUGCAUGGUGGGGGUUGGAAAGUUUCGGCGGUUGGGGAUGGACUUGCGGCUUAUCAGCUUGUUGGUGGGGUAGUGGCUUACCAAGGCUUUGACGGGUAGCCGGCCUGAGAGGGUGACCGGCCACAUUGGGACUGAGAUAACGCCCAGACUCCUACGGGAGGCAGCAGUGGGGAAUAGUGCACAAUGGGCGGAAGCCUGGUGCAGCAACGCCGCGUGCGGGAUAACGGCCUUCGGGUUGUAAACCGCUUUCGCCUGUGACGAAGCGUGAGUGACGGUAAUGGGUAAAGAAGCACCGGCUAACUACGUG
rnacentral:rRNA from 1 species